UACGAAGGGGGCUAGCGUUGCUCGGAAUCACUGGGCGUAAAGGGCGCGUAGGCGGCCGAUUAAGUCGGGGGUGAAAGCCUGUGGCUCAACCACAGAAUUGCCUUCGAUACUGGUUGGCUUGAGACCGGAAGAGGACAGCGGAACUGCGAGCGUAGAGGUGAAAUUCGUAGAUAUUCGCAAGAACACCAGUGGCGAAGGCGGCUGUCUGGUCCGGUUCUGACGCUGAGGCGCGAAAGCGUGGGGAGCAAACAGG
rnacentral:rRNA from 1 species